CCUUGCCUGAGUGCCUCCAUUAGCCAGGUGUCAGAGCUCUCUGUUUUCAUUCCAGGCUUUUCUCUGGGAACAGGGUGUGUGCGCACCGAGAAGUGCCGAGGAGGAACUGAGGCCGUGGCUGAUCCAGGAGGGUGCCCAGAGCAGCUCUGCAAGUGAGGUUAGUGCCUUCACUCCUCUGUCAUCACCAGUCCCUGAGAGCAAUCACCACCCACCAACAGUUCCUCGAGAUAAGACCGAGCCAGAUGGGAGAAGAAAGCCUUUGAUAUUUCCCUGCCUUGCUGAGCAUGACGCUGAAGCAGCAGUAGGGAGGAGCUGAUUUCUUCCCGGGGGUCGUGGCAGGCAGCACAGCUUGCGUGGAUAUCUUGGCAAAAAGUGUCCAAGCUCCAGCAGGACCCAAGGAAUAUCAGUUGACAUUUACAGCCUCUCCAGUGAUCCUCAAGUUUCGUAUUACACCUGAAUGGUCAUCUUCACUGCCUGAAUAUGGCCUGUACCUCAGCUUAAGGAAAGAGCUACACAUUGAGUUUUGGAGAAAGACUGGAGCCUUCAGCUGUAAAUUUAUCUUGUGUUGUAUGUCUUCAAGGGCCUGGGCAGACCGAGGUGGAGCUCAGCCGCGGAGUAUCCCUGAUCCUUCCACGGAUAUCAGCAUCUGCAGCACCUGGGGUCCACAGCAAAACUCUUUCCUCUAGAGGCCAAGAGCUGAAUCUACAAUUUCAAGCAAGGUCCUGUAUGAGCUGCCAAAGAACUACAUAUGCCCCAGAGAUACGUACACAUGUUCGCUGAACACACGGUGCGUGGGCAGGAACUGCACAGCUCUGGGGUCAGUUUGAUUUCUCAUGUGCUCUUCCUGCACUCUGCACAGUAAAACAUCUUUAAGAAGGUAAGAGCA